AUGUAGGUUUUGCUCUAUAACGCC
rnacentral:siRNA from 1 species